rnacentral:rRNA from 1 species
UACGUAGGGGGCUAGCGUUGUCCGGAAUCAUUGGGCGUAAAGAGCGUGUAGGCGGUCCGGUAAGUCCGCUGUGAAAGUCGGGGGCUCAACCCUCGAAUGCCGGUGGAUACUGUCGGGCUAGAGUGCGGAAGAGGCGAGUGGAAUUCCUGGUGUAGCGGUGAAAUGCGCAGAUAUCAGGAGGAACACCUAUUGCGAAGGCAGCUCGCUGGGACGUAACUGACGCUGAGACGCGAAAGCGUGGGGAGCAAACAGGAUUAG